rnacentral:lncRNA from 13 species
UUCCUUGAGGGCAACGUCCUACACACCCAGCUCAGUGCCUGCCACACACAGGGAGCGAGAGAAAUGCUUCGAGAAAGCGAACUCAAGUCCGGAGCCAAGUAUUUGAAUUACGGCUUGGCCUCUGGUAAACAACCUGGGGGCGACCCUCCUUCUCUCUGGGCCUCAGCCGCCCCAACUGUAAAAUGGGAGGACUUGGUUGGCUGCGUCUAGGCCCUUUCCGCGGUGACAACUGCGAUUCCGCGAAAGCUCUAAGCGAAUGGGCGUGGCCCCGCCCCCUGGGCGCCCAGAAAAGUCCGGGAAGGGGGCGCGCAAGGCUCCAACCCCGCCUAGCCUGGGGUCCACGCUGUCCGAAAAACUCUGCGCCCCCCUCCCCCAUGGCGUGCACCCCGUGAUUGGGCCGCGGCCGACACUUCCGCACAGCGGGCCAGGCCAGAGCAGGGCACGCGCGCCGCGCUCCAGCCACCCCUGAGGCGCUCGCGCCGGGGGAGGGCUGGGGGUUCCCGAGGCGCCCGCGGGCGGAGGGAGAGGGGAAGGAAGGAUUUGCAACAAUACCUCUGGGAGGAGGCAGCCGGGGCGGCAGCAGCGGCGGCGGCGGCGGCGGCGGCGGCUGGAGGCGGAGGCAGAGGCAGAGGAGGAGGUGCCCGGGCACUCCCCCUCCCAUUGUCCCCAGCCCCGGACAGGCUCGGCCCCGCACCCCGCACCGGCCUCCUCAAGCGCGCCGCCCGCGCCCAGCGCCCCGCGCCCCGGGCCCCGGACCCCGCGCCGUGCAGCCAGCCCUUACCUUGCAGCGCCGGGUUCUCCCCCGGUCGCUAAAGCUACUUAUCCCAGGAAAGCUCGCGCGGGACCCGGGAACGAACCCACAGACAAAAAGUGAAACUUCGGCAGGGCUGGAGCGGCUGCUGGUUGCCUCUUCACUUGGAAGUCCUCAUCCUCCUCUUUCAGAUAACUUCAAGUGAUGGGGCCUGAAUGCAAGCAGACCAACGGAAAGGAGGAGGAAAGUGAGAGGAGCCCAGCCUUUUGGAAGUAGCAAUCAAGACUAGCAUGGGCAAUGGGCACAGUGGCUCACGCCCAUAAUCCCAAACCUUGAGAGGCCGAGGUAGGCAGAUCACCUGAUGUUGGGAGUUUGAGACCAGCCUGGCCAACAUGGGAAAUCUUGUCUCUAUUAAAAAUACAAAAAUUAGCUGGGCAUCGUAGCACACGCCUAACAUGCCUAUAAUCCCUCCUACUCAGAAGGCUGGGGCACAAGAAGUGCUUGAACCCAUGAGGCGGUAGUUGCAGUGAGCCAAGAUCACACCACUGCACUCUAGCCUGGAUUGACACUCUAGCUAGAUUCUGUCUCAAAAAAAAAAAAAAAAAAAAAAAAAAAAAAAAAAAAAAAAAAAAAGACCAGCAUGGGGAGAGAGACAAGAGAGAAAUGUUUGCUGGUUCUUACCCUAAAUUACUGUGCAAUCUCUUGGCAAGUCACUUCCUCUGUAUUCUCAGUUUCUCUAUCUAAUUAGUUCCUUAAAUUUGGUGAUCUCCAACACUCUCCCAGUUUUUCAGUUUGAUGUUGCAUUCUACCCAGUGAUCAAAUCCAUAUUCCCGAAGCACAGUACACUAUGUCAUACUGCAAAUCUUGUAAAGGUUCCUGAUAUGGUUUGGUUGUGUCCCUACUCAAGUCUCAUCUUGAAUUGCAAUUCCCAUAAUUCCCACAUGUCGUGGGAGGGACCAGGUGGAGAUAAUUGAAUCAUGGGGGUGAUUUCCCCCCUGCUGUUCUUGUGAUUGUGAGUUAGUUCUCAUGAAAUCUGCUGGUUUUACAAGGGUCUUUCCCCUUCACUGGGCACUCAUUCUUCUGUCUCCAGCUGCCAUGUGAAGAAGGACAUAUUUGCUUUCUCUUCUGCCAGGAUUGUAAGUUUCCUGAGGCCUCCCAGGAAUGCUGAAGUGUGAGACAAUUAAACAUUUUUCUUUAUAAAUUUCCCAGUCUUGAGUAUGUCUUUAUUAGCUGUGUGAUAAUGGAUUGAUAAAGUUUAAUAAUAUCAACCAAAUUAAGUUCAUACCCUUAAGCCUCCCCUUCCUCAUUUUUAUGACCGAAUCCUGAUGGACUUUUCCAACUAUAAGUUGUACCCUCCAACACCCCCUCCUCCACCACACACAUACACACACACCAAUUCCUUUAGUUCCUGCCUCUGGGCUUUUGCACGUUUAGCUUUCUCCUCUUGAACCUAAAAGACUUUUCAGGCCCAUCUCCAAAACUGCAGAUUCUACCUGUCCAGCUAGCCCCUUCUCUUGGAAUCCCUACCCCAUUGUCCAUUCUUUCCAAACUCUAUUUUCCCAGAAUGAUACCCAUUUCAUCAUCCCAAUGCAUUACAACUUGUCAUCAGUGUGUUUGAUCUCCUCCAUGCAAAUAUAGAAUUCUUUAUAGUAGUCUUCAUGUCUUGUUCAUUUCUCUUCCCCAGCAGCUGAGGCAGUACCUGGCAUUUAUAAACAAUUGUUACUCAGUAAGAGAGUAAAUGAGUGAAUCCUUCAUCUUCGAUAGAAAAGCAACACAAUCAAUGCCGUCUCUCUGGAAGAUUGGUCGUGUUUCUUUAGACCAUGACUCCGAGCAGGCAUUGGGAGGGGCGAGGGGAAGAGAGAGAACUAAUAUUGGUCAUUUGUUACAGUGUGCUCUGUGUGCCCUUUCUAGGCCUUCUAACAUUUAGCAGAAAUAAAUUAUAUAAAUUUUCUGAUAAUAUAGUUCUG